CCCUAUGGGGCGCUGGUGACGGUGCAGGUGCAUCUGAAUGUGCUGGCGGUGUGCGUGCAUGCGAAGCUGGCCGCGGCGAUCUUUACGUUGGGCCGGCGUCCCGAUGAGUUUACGCGUUCGAAGGCCGAAGAGGAGGGGCUGGUCCUGUUCUCGACGGAGGCGACCACGUUCGAUGUGGCCGGGAAGUUGUAUGCGCUCGGCUUGAGAGGCUCGGCGUGAAAACGUAUCACGCCGAUUUGCAUGUCCAUACGGCGUUGUCCCCUUGCGCCGAAGAUUCCAUGACCCCCCCCACUAUUGUGCUGGCCGCGUUGCAAAAGGGACUCGAUAUUAUCGCGGUGUGCGAUCACAACAGCGCGGGGAAUGCGCGCGCGGGGCGGGAGUGCGCCCUCGAUAUGGCGGGGGAGC
rnacentral:rRNA from 1 species